rnacentral:rRNA from 1 species
AUGGAACCCUAUGUAGGCAUGAGGUUUGACAGCCUUCAAAUUGCUAAGGAUCACUACAACAGUUACGCACUACGGAUGGGUUUCUCUAUCAAGAUGAACACCUCUAGACGGACACACCGCACCAAUGAAUUGAUAAAACAACAGUUUUGCUGCAACAAGUUCAAGAAGCCCAAAGCUGAUGAUGGAGGAGCUGAGGCUCCUCCUUACCUGGAACCUAUUCCAGAUCCAACAUCUGUUAACAGUGAUGAGGAGAUGGAAGAAGAACCUCCAAUAUUUGCUGAAGAGGAGGCUGGUACUAGUAAGAAGAAGAAGAAGCGCAAACGCGAGACAAUAAAGCAGACUGAAUGCAAGGCGAAAAUGUUGGUGAAGCUGAUAGAUGGGCGAUGGGAGGUGACGCACUUUGUUCGUGACCACAAUCAUCCGCUCAUGAACAAACCUUCAUUGUCCAAAUACUUGAGAUCCCACCAAGGCAUCUCACCUAAUGAAAAGGAGUUUCUGCGCAUCUUGUAUAACUGCAACUUGACUACAGGCGACUACAAUCCAAGUACCAUGACAGGCCGUGCUACUGCAGGUGACCGUGACGGUCCUACUGCCCCGUUGGAGGCUGCAUCCCUUGCACAAGCUUCUAAUGAUUUUGUGCCCAGGAAUCCUCCAAGGUCUACUACAAAGGGUAGGGCAAAGAGUCGAUGGUACAAAUCGGCGCUGGAGCUACACCCAAAGAAGAAAAACAAAUGCAGCCAGUGCCAAUCUACAGAGCACACUGCUGGUGUGUGUCCACAGAGGCUCCUAUGA